UACGUAGGGAGCAAGCGUUGUUCGGAUUUACUGGGCGUAAAGGGCGCGUAGGCGGCAAAUUAAGUCAGCUGUGAAAUCUCCGAGCUUAACUCGGAACUGUCAGCUGAUACUGAUCUGCUAGAGUGCGGAAGGGGCAAUCGGAAUUCUUGGUGUAGCGGUGAAAUGCGUAGAUAUGUGGAGGAAUACCGAUGGCGAAGGCAGCCUCCUGGGCCAACACUGACGCUCAUGCACGAAAGCGUGGGGAGCAAACAGG
rnacentral:rRNA from 1 species